CGACAUGAAAAUACAAAGAUAAUUUUUGCUCAGUAAUUAACUCGAUAAAGCUUCGUUAUUCAACUCCCAAGAAUGGACACGGAAGCAAAGGUUCCCAGCACAAGGAGAAGAGAUCUCCCUCCCAUUCCUCAAGGACAGAGGCGGGGACCACGAGCAUUGCCAUCUAUGCCAAGUCAGGACACAGCAGAGGAGAUUCCUGCUCCAAAGAGUAGGAAAAAGAAGGUCAAGAGGGAUGUGGGAGAGUGUGAUGAACAUGAUGGUG